rnacentral:rRNA from 1 species
GCCGGGACCUGACUGCUAUCGGAUUGAUACUAACCCAUGCGAGUCAUUGCUAGCAAUACAAGGCAGACGGCUCAGUAACGCGUAGUCAAUCUACCCUAUGGACGGGAAUAACCUCGGGAAACUGAGAAUAACGCCCGAUAGAACAUUAUGCCUGGAAAUGGUUUAUGUUUCAACAUGAUUUAUCGCCAUAGGAUGGGACUGCGGCCCUAUCAGUUUGUUGGUGAGGUAAUGGCCCACCAAGACUAUUACAGGUACGGGCUCUGAGAGGAGUGGCCCGGAAAUGGGUACUGAGACACGGACCCCAGGCCCUAUGGGGCGCAGCAGGCGAGAAAACUUUGCAAAUGUGCGAAAAGCACGACAAGGUUAAUCCCGAGUGAUUUCUGCUAAAAGAAAUCUUUUGCUAGUCCUAGAAACACUAGUGAAUAAGGGGUGGGCAAGUUCUGGUGUCAGCCGCCGCCGGUAAAACCAGCGCCUCAAGUGGUCAGGAUGAUUAUUGGGCCUAAAGCAUCCGUAACUUCGUUUUUGUAAAGUUUUCGGUUAAAUCCAUACGCUUAACGUAUGGGCUGCCGGGAAUACUGCAUAACUUAGGAAGUGGGGAGAGGUAGACGUGUACUUCGGUAGGAAUGGGGUAAAAUCCUUUGACUCUAUUGAUGACCACCUGGUGGCGAAGGCGGUCUACCAGAACUACGUUCGACGGUGAGGGAUGAAAGCUGGGGGAGCAAACCGGAUUAGAUACCCGGGUAGUCCCAGCUGUAAACUAUGCAAACUCAGUGAUGCAUUGGCUUGUGGCCAACUGCAGUGUACUGCAGGGAAGCCGCUUAAGCCUCUCUGCCGCUUCUGGGAAGCUAUCGUAUCGUCAAGCUAUGAAACUUAAAGGAAUUGCGGGGGAGCGCCACAAGGGGUGAAGCCUGCGGUUCAAUUGGAUUCAACGCCGG